rnacentral:rRNA from 1 species
UACGGAGGGUGCGAGCGUUGUCCGGAAUCAUUGGGCGUAAAGGGCGCGUAGGUGGCCCGGUCAGUCCGUGGUGAAAGCGCGGGGCUCAACCCCGCGUCGGCCAUGGAUACUGCUGGGCUGGAGCACUGUAGAGGCAGGCGGAAUUCCGGGUGUAGCGGUGGAAUGCGUAGAGAUCCGGAAGAACACCGGAGGCGAAGGCGGCUUGCUGGGCGUGAUCUGACGCUGAGGCGCGAAAGCGUGGGGAGCGAACAGG